UACCUGUCUGCAAUCUUGAAGCGAAUGGCACACUGUAGUUUCCUGAGGCAGAUGGGACA
ensembl:miRNA ipu-mir-7560 ipu-mir-7560